AUUGCUGUAGUAUUUUGACUAUACAAAGGUAUUGAAAUAAGACUUUAAUUGAGUGCUAAGAGAAUGGAAUUUCAUAAAAUUUCUUUUUUAAUUUUAAAAAUUGAAAUUAAUUUUAUAUGUGAAGAAACAAUAAUAAAAAUUAAGGACAAGAAGACCCUAAGAAUUUUAAAAAUUUCAAUAAAAUACUGUAUUUUAUUGAAAUUUUUUAAUUGGGGCGAUUAUUAAAUAUUAAAAACUUUAAUUUUUUUAAAAAAGAACCAAUAAUAUUGGUUAUUUGAAAAAAUACUCUAGGGAUAACAGCGUAAUAAUUUUUGAUAGUUCUUAUAGACAAAAUAGUUUGCGACCUCGAUGUUGGAUUAGGAUUCUUUUUUAAUGAAGAAGUUAAAAAAAGAAGUUUGUUCAACUUUUAAAAUCCUACUUGAU
rnacentral:rRNA from 1 species